AUGCAACCUUCUGAGCAAAAACUUGAAUUGGAAGUUUCCAUACCUAGAACACUUUAUGAUGAGUGGGAACCUACUAUAAAAAUUAAAAUUAAAGAUCAUGAAUGCUAUGCUUUGUGUGAUUUGGGUGCUAGUGUUUUCACGAUUCCAAAAACUUUAUGUGAUGUGCUAGGUUUCCAUGAUUUUGAUGAUUGCUCUUUAAACUUGUACCUUGCAGAUUCCACCAUUAAGAAACAUAUGGGAAGGAUCAAUGAUGUUCUUAUUGUUGCAAAUAGGAAUUAUGUGCCCGUGGAUUUUACCGUUCUUGAUAUAGAUUGCAAUCUUUCAUGUCCUAUUAUUCUUGGUAGACCUUUCCUUAGAACGAUUGGUGCAAUUAUUGAUAUGAAGGAAGGGAAUAUUAGAUUCCAAUUUUCAUUAAGGAAAGGCAUGGAACACUUUCCUAGAAAGAAAGUCAAAUUACCUUAUGAAUACAUUAUGUGUGCCACUUAUUAA
rnacentral:rRNA from 1 species